rnacentral:rRNA from 1 species
GGAAGGAAGAGAUUCAUCGUCAGCGUAUUCAGUAUUAAUCCGGGUUAUGAUGUGAUGAUAGAACCCUUGUGGUCACUAGAUUAUACUUGCUUGUAUUAUUUUUGCGGGGUAGGUCGGCGUGCACUUUUUUUUUAGUAGAACGUCGCAACCCGUGGGAUGUUUAUUUAUGGCCUAAAUGGUAGCCUCUGAUAUUUUAAAAUAUCGAAGACCUUUGGUGUCCUGAUAAGCUGUCUGACGGUAAACAUAUAGUAUUGAGCCGCAAUUAUUUGCGUUAGACUUACCGCAAGUAAGAUUUUAGUCUAGUAGUGCAGAUCUAAUGCUGUCGCUGGGCAAAGUCUACUGUUAGCUGUGUAA